rnacentral:rRNA from 1 species
AACGAACGCUGGCGGCAUGCCUAACACAUGCAAGUCGAACGAGACCUUCGGGUCUAGUGGCGCACGGGUGCGUAACGCGUGGGAACCCGCCCUUAGGUUCGGAAUAACUCCCCGAAAGGGGUGCUAAUACCGGAUAAUGUCUUCGGACCAAAGAUUUAUCGCCUUUGGAUGGGCCCGCAUUGGAUUAGCUAGUUGGUAGGGUAAAAGCCUACCAAGGCGACGAUCCAUAGCUGGUCUGAGAGGAUGAUCAGCCACACUGGGACUGAGACACGGCCCAGACUCCUACGGGAGGCAGCAGUGGGGAAUAUUGGACAAUGGGCGAAAGCCUGAUCCAGCAAUGCCGCGUGAGUGAUGAAGGCCUUAGGGUUGUAAAGCUCUUUUACCCGGGAUGAUAAUGACAGUACCGGGAGAAUAAGCUCCGGCUAACUCCGUG